AGAAAAACCAGCUCUGAAGAACAAAUACUAGUAUCUGUUAAAAAAUUGUGCCCUAACAAAAAAAAUAUGGAUUUAAAAAAAAUUAACGCAACGUCUCUAAUUACAGAGAGAAAACCAAUAACAAAAAUACAAGAUCUACCUUUGAAAUCUCUGAGGGCUAUAAAGAAGGCAAAAAUAGUCAAUUCCAAAUUCGGAGAAUCAGUUUUAUUGGAUUUAGAUGAAGAAGUAGUGUUUUUACCGCAAAGAGUCACAAGUGUCUACAAACCAGUCAUUGAAGAAUUUGAAAAGGAAAAAUACGGAAUUAUAUUCAAGGGAUUAGUGGAUGUUGGAAAAAAUCAACGGCUAGCGUCAUUUGAAAUUGAGGAACUAUAGACGUGCCUAAGACACCCACAGAGAGAGAGAGAGAGAGAGAGAGAUAAUGAACUCCUCAACAUUAAUGGAAUUAUGAAUCAUAAAAAUUUGUGAAACGAUAAAGUCAGCAGCCGAUUUCGCAGAGCAAUCCCCUCUUCCUCGGAAAUUGUGAAAAAAUUUCCUGUUUACAAAUGGAAUGCGAUGAUAAAAGAGGCUGAGAGUAAUCCAAACAAAUUGGGGAGAUAUGUUUGAAGAAUCUACUUACUGCGUAUGAUCUAGUGGAUAUUGGCUUCCACAAUAUCGUAUAAAUGUUUGUAAAUCAUGUUAUUUUGUAUUUAUUACGGCCCAUAAAUAUUUAAAAAAGAACAUUUUUGUUAAUUAUGAUCACUGUCAUGAAGUAUUUGAUGGUGAAGAAAUUGUUGAAUGUGUAUAUCAAGAAAUGUCCUAUUGGUGUCAGAGUUGUUUUAACAAAGUCUUAUUCAUGAUAAAAUCACAUGAGUCCUGUAUUAAUAAUUCACAUGAGAUGCCUAGAAAUAAUCGUUUUGAUGAUUCUGAUAUAGACAGUGACAUUGAUACUUUUGAGGCCGCUAUGCAGUAAAAACAAUAUUCAUGGAAUGUAUCUCUCUCUCUCUCUCUCUCAUAAAUGUUGAAUAUUGUCUUAUGUUUUCUUAUAAUAAAAUUAUUUUUAAAAUUCUUGUGUUUUUUUUUGUUAGUUUCCAAUAUAUCUUUAUGUAAUAGCAGUAAAACAAUAUUCAUGAAAUGUAUCUCUCUUGUCGUUGCGUCAAACGUCACAUCGUUACGUCAAACGUCACGUCGUUACGUCAAACGUCAAGUCGUUAAGUCAAACGUCAAGUGCUGCGUCAAACGAUCAUCAAACGUGUCUACGUAUGAGAAUGUUCUCUUUCGUAAUAUGUCUUCAGAAGAGUACAGACGUCGAAUUGAAGAGUUUAUUAAUAGCAUUGGUGAAUUAAAGAAAGAUAUUGCUUUCUACGGAGAUAAAAGUGAGGUUAUGAAACAAAUGCAGAAUCUUAGUUUAUUUGAUAAGAAAGUGACGUGGAGCAGUCUUCACUGGGGGGUGCCUGAAGAGGUCCAUCAGUUGGCCCGUAGACUGCCGCAAACUACUUAUCCGUUAAGACGUAUUCAACCUACACCAUGUUCAACAGAACAGAAGGGGAUAUAAAAAAUGAAAUUAAUUCUGUUUUUGCUAUGUCAUGUGUAAUAUUAG